AUGCGCACAGUUAUCUCGUUUAAGUGAGUGACUACAACGACGACGACGACGUGUCUUCUGCUGGGAAAUCACUGUUGUUAUUAUUAUUGUUGAUACUUCAUUCACCAACAUUACAUGUAGUAAUCUCCUGCAUUGACGGUGAAUAAUUUGGUUGAAAGAUUAUAGCUAGUGAAUUUGAACCAUGUCUGAUUCUGAAGAUGAUGGAGCCUUUGCUAGUGCUGGUGAAGGUGACGACAUACCUGUGUCACACACUAGCAAGAAAGGCCAACUAACACCCCAAACAAGCAGUGGCAAAAAUGACAAUAAAAACUCUAAAGGCAAAAAUAAGAAAAACCAACAAAAAAAGAAAGGUAAAAUGGCUAAGUCAACUGAUGAAGAAAUUGCCGAUAAAUUUAUGAACUCUUUUGAGAGCUCUGAUAGCACCAUUUCCAGUGAAAUGACCACACCACAGGUUGAUAAUGUACAGUUACCUAAACCUGAUAUGGAAGAUGUUCGAAUCACCGAUGAAAGUGAUGACAAUCGUAUGAAAAGUAACUUCUCCGAGGAAGACGACCAGAGUGAUGUUUUACAGGACUGUAACCUGAAGAGACUGUCUUUAUCUUUAGAUAACAAAGAAGAGAACAAUAAAGAAACUCUUCCUGACAAAAAUACUGCCACAAAAGAAAACCAAGAAAAAUCUGGAAAGACAUCAAGCUGGGGAUGGGGAAGCUGGGGAUCAUCUUUCAUUGGGGCAGCAGCUUCAUCUGUUUCCACAUUUACGUCUCAGAUAGGUGAUGGUGUCAAUACCAUUAUCGAUACUGUGGAGACUGGUUUGACUAGUGUACCUUCACCUGAAGAAAUGGCCAAAGAAGCAAAAGAAAUGGAAAAUCUACCUGAAGCAAAAGAGAAAGAAGGAAAGAAACCAGAAGACAAAACUGAAACUUUGCCUCCUGAAGAAAACCCUGAUGUUGGAGAAGGAGAGGAAGGAGAAGGGUCAAAAUCAGAGAAUCAAGGUAUCGGUGGUUGGCUAUCUGGUUGGGGAGUGUCCAAGAUUACUGGGGCAGUUCAAGAAAAGAGUAAAAACAUUGUUACAGGAAGCCUUGAUGUGUUAGAAAGUUUAGGGAGGAAAACAUUUGAUGCAAUCAAUGAACAUGAUCCAGUAGGAAUCAGGGAUAAAACCAAAAUGUUAUUCGAGAGAGGUGAUUCACCACAGCUUGCUGAUCUGCUGAAGGAAGCUAAAGAGAAAUCAGAAAUGGAGGAAAAAAUUGCUCAAGAAACUACCGAAGCAUUGAAGUUUGAUUUUGGAGCUUUGUUUGAAGAUUACCAAGGGCAAGCUCAUAUGGAUGCUUUACGGUUGCUCUCUCAACAAAGUGAAGCUAAGUUAAGUGCAUUGCUUGAAUACCACUCUUCUAAUGCUGGCAAGGAAGAAGAAGAAGAAGAAGCCAUGAAAAACGAACUUCUAAAAGUGAGGGAUGCUUUUGAAGUGGCUAUAGAAGAUGAAGAAGAUUUUGAUAAAGACCACUUGUUUGUUGGUCUUGUUACUGAGCAUUUAUCAGAUGUCCACCUGGGAGCUCAACCAGACAAACUUAAUAAGUGUCAAGCCAACGCAAGGCAAUGGAUCACGGAGUUUUUUGAAACUCAUUCAACAGAUGAAGAGAAGAAGGCAGCUGAUCCCAAGGAAAUUUACACAGUUGCAAUCCAGUCAAUGGCUGAACUGACAGCCAAAAUAAUUGAACAGUUCCACAAAGCUGGGGAACUGAUUCUUUUGCAAAGUGAUGUUGAACGAAGUGUUGAAGAUCGUGCCAAAAACCUUGCCAGUUUGACUAAAAUAUUCUGGACUGAAAUUAACAUUCUAUCAACCAAAUUCGCCAAAUGUCUCAAUACAGUCAUUGCUGAAGAAGAGAGUGAAAAGAAGUCUGUCAACCAAUACAUAACUAAUGUUUAUCUUGAAGCAUCAAAUAGCAGUUCAUAUAUUGAUGAAGGCUUCCGGGCACUUUUACCCAUAAUGCAAUUGGCUCUACUUGAGAAGUCAUCAGCGUCGUAAAGUGCAUGCUGCAAACAGUAGCCAAUAAACUGAUCUUCAACCACCGAAUAGUAAUUUUAAAUUUAAAAAAAAAGAAAUAAGAACAAAAAGCACCCUCAAUCAUUGAAUAAUUGGAUCAUGCACCUAAAUAAGAAGUCGAUGCAAAUGUUUGAUUAAACUGUGAAACUGUAUCCACCCACCAACUGCUUUACCAAUCAAAAAAUACUGUCUCAUAUUCUAUAUAUCAUAUUAUAACUUGUUUUAUUACUGCUACGUAGGAGUGUUGGCCUUACACAAAUCCAUUUUUAACUUUGCAAAGAGGUGACCCAUAUUAGUCUGGCCUCUAUCCACUAACCUGCCCAGAAUGGAAGACCCUACCAGGAACUUGCACUCUGCUGGCUUAGCUCUUAGGCUCACUGAGACACACAAACCACCACACCACAAGGACUGGACCUUGUGGUAGAACAUGUCAGCCAGCCAGCCAAUAAAGAACCUCUACAUAGCCAUUUAACAUGUUAGGAAUAGCAGCCAACCCCACUCAAAUUACAACCUACCAUCUUGAAAAGAAGAGGACACAAUCUAAUACCUAGAUAAGCAAUCUCUAAGAAAAGACCAAAGGUGUUCUAUUGCUAGAACACCAGGUCUGCUCAGUUAAGCUAAUCUGAGGCUAGACAACAAUAGGCUCUUGGACGUCUUUAGGGGACUCAACCCUGCUACAAGCAUUCAGAUCAGGUCUCUGGUUUGAGGAUAACUCAAUUUCUUGCUGUGCUACUUCCUUCUGAAGCAACCCAACCAACCCAUGAUUUCCCUUACCUGACAAACUAUAUAUAAAAAAAUUGUAUGCACCAGUA